AUACAUAUGUUUAGGAAGAGACUGGAUUUCACUUGUCAACUUACCCCACCACCACGAGUCAUUUAAUGUUGGUAAAGCCAGCCACGAUUUUUCGUAUCUAUAACACCCCUUCUUCCAUUGAAUUCUACCUACAAAUAACUGAAGGCUCACAUUAUUUUGGAAUAUGGACCUCCGCCUCUUGUGGAGACGAGAUUUCUCUUAAGCUGAUUUCCCAAAAAGGGGCUGCAAUGUGUGUUCCCGAUUCUAGAUUCAUUGAGCUCACCCUAGAUGAGUCCUUUGGUUCGGUGGUUCGGAAAAGUCUCUUUGUUCCUUCUCCAAACUCAAUGCUCCAGGAUCUCUUGUGCUUGUGCCAGUGUCUCAUGUAGAAUGUUGCCUGAUCUCUGCUCAAGAAUCUGAGUCACAAGGUUGAUGCCUUCACAGAUGACAGAACAGAAGUUCCCUGAGUACCCGAGUCUGUCUUUGCUGUUUCUAAGGUAGUGAUUAUUAAAAUGUCAAGGGAAAUUAAA
rnacentral:lncRNA from 1 species